GUCAGCACCCCGCUCUAAAGAGACGGGGCUUCAUGCCUCUGAUUUGGAUAGCUGACCAGCCUAAGCCUUAACUGGCUACGUUAUCGGGAAGCGUUAAAGUUCUUACCUUGGGAUGCGUAGCUAGUCCCAAGCUCUAAA
rnacentral:sRNA from 1 species